rnacentral:rRNA from 1 species
CCUACGGGUGGCAGCAGUGAGGAAUAUUGGUCAAUGGGCGGAAGUCUGAACCAGCCAUGCCGCGUGCAGGAUGACGGCUCUAUGAGUUGUAAACUCCUUUUGUACGAGAAUAAUAGUUCUUACGUGUAGGGAUUUCAAUGUAUCGUACGAAUCAGGAUCGGCUAACUCCGUGCCAGCAGCCGCGGUAAUACGGAGGAGUCGAGCGUUAUCCGGAUUUAUUGGGUUUAAAGGGUGCGUAGGCUGUAGGAUAAGUUAGAGGUCAAAUGUCGGGGCUUAACCCCGUGCCUGCCUUUGAUACUGUGCGACUAGAGAGCGGGUGCGGCAGGCGGAAUUAGUAGUGUAGCGGUGAAAUGCGUAGAUAUUA